CCGUAACUAUAACGGUCCUAAGGUAGCGAAAUUCCUUGUCGGGUAAGUUCCGACCCGCACGAAAGGCGUAACGAUUUGGGCACUGUCUCAACGAGAGACUCGGUGAAAUCAUAGUACCUGUGAAGAUGCAGGUUACCCGCGACAGGACGGAAAGACCCCGUGGAGCUUUACUGUAGCCUGAUAUUGAAAUUCGGCACAGCUUGUACAGGAUAGGUAGGAGCCUUUGAAACGUGAGCGCUAGCUUACGUGGAGGCGCUGGUGGGAUACUACCCUAGCUGUGUUGGCUUUCUAACCCGCACCACUUAUCGUGGUGGGAGACAGUGUCAGGCGGGCAGUUUGACUGGGGCGGUCGCCUCCUAAAAGGUAACGGAGGCGCUCAAAGGUUCCCUCAGAAUGGUUGGAAAUCAUUCAUAGAGUGUAAAGGCAUAAGGGAGCUUGACUGCGAGACCUACAAGUCGAGCAGGGUCGAAAGACGGACUUAGUGAUCCGGUGGUUCCGCAUGGAAGGGCCAUCGCUCAACGGAUAAAAGCUACCCCGGGGAUAACAGGCUUAUCUCCCCCAAGAGUUCACAUCGACGGGGAGGUUUGGCACCUCGAUGUCGGCUCAUCGCAUCCUGGGGCUGUAGUCGGUCCCAAGGGUUGGGCUGUUCGCCCAUUAAAGCGGUACGCGAGCUGGGUUCAGAACGUCGUGAGACAGUUCGGUCCCUAUCCGUCGUGGGCGUAGGAAAUUUGAGAGGAGCUGUCCUUAGUACGAGAGGACCGGGAUGGACAUACCUCUGGUGUACCAGUUGUCGUGCCAACGGCAUAGCUGGGUAGCUAUGUGUGGACGGGAUAAGUGCUGAAAGCAUCUAAGCAUGAAGCCCCCCUCAAGAUGAGAUUUCCCAACUUCGGUUAUAAGAUCCCUCAAAGAUGAUGAGGUUAAUAGGUUCGAGGUGGAAGCAUGGUGACAUGUGGAGCUGACGAAUACUAA
rnacentral:rRNA from 1 species